rnacentral:rRNA from 1 species
AGAGUUUGAUCCUGGCUCAGAACGAACGCUGGCGGCAGGCUUAACACAUGCAAGUCGAACGAUAUAGUGGCAGACGGGUGAGUAACGCGUGGAAACGUGCCUUUCACUACGGAAUAGCUUUUGGAAACGAAAGGUAAUACCGUAUACNCCCACCGGGGAAAGAUUUAUCGGUGAAAGAUCGGUCCGCGUUAGAUUAGCUAGUUGGUGAGGUAACGGCUCACCAAGGCUACGAUCUAUAGCUGGUCUGAGAGGAUGAUCAGCCACACUGGGACUGAGACACGGCCCAGACUCUACGGGAGGCAGCAGUGGGGAAUAUUGCACAAUGGGCGCAAGCCUGAUGCAGCCAUGCCGCGUGAGUGAUGAAGGCCUUAGGGUUGUAAAAUUCUUUCGCCAGGGAUGAUAAUGACAGUACCUGGUAAAGAAGCCCCGGCUAACUUCGUGCCAGCAGCCGCGUAAUACGAAGGGGGCUAGCGUUGUUCGGAAUUACUGGGCGUAAAGCGCACGUAGGCGGACUUUUAAGUCAGAUGUGAAAUCCCGAGGCUCAACCUCGAACUGCAUUUGAAACUGGGAGUCUAGAGAUCAGGAGAGGUUAGCGGAAUACCGAGUGUAGAGGUGAAAUUCGUAGAUAUUCGGUGGAACACAGUGGCGAAGGCGGCUAACUGGACUGAUACUGACGCUGAGGUGCGAAAGUGUGGGGAGCAAACAGGAUUAGAUACCCUGGUAGUCCACACCGUAAACGAUGAGUGCUAGUUGUCUGCAGGCAUGCCUGUAGGUGACGCCAGCUAACGCAUUAAGCACUCCGCCUGGGGAGUACGGCNGCAAGGUUAAAACUCAAAGAAAUUGACGGGGGNSCACAAGCGGUGGAGCAUGUGGUUUAAUUCGAAGCAACGCGCAGAACCUUACCUACGCUUGACAUGCCCGGACGAUUUCCAGAGAUGGAUCUCCUUCUCGGGNNCGGUSACAGGUGCUGCAUGGCUGUCGUCAGCUCGUGUCGUGAGAUGUUGGGUUAAGUCCCGCAACGAGCGCAACCCUCAUCCUUAGUUGCCAUCACGUUUGGGUGGGCACUCUAGGGAAACUGCCGGUGCUAAGCCGGAGGAAGGCGGGGAUGACGUCAAGUCCUCAUGGCCCUUACGCGUAGGGCUACACACGUGCUACAAUGGCAGUGACAAUGGGAUAAUCCCCAAAAGCUGUCUCAGUUCGGAUUGUCGGCUGCAACUCGCCGGCAUGAAGUUGGAAUCGCUAGUAAUCGUGGAUCAGCAUGCCAC